rnacentral:lncRNA from 1 species
AUUUGCUGGGUGGGCAGAAGAGAGAGCCUGGGAGGAAAUAUCAGGGGCUGUGAACAAGAACCAGGGAGAAGAAACGUUCAGGGAGGAAACAGCAGUCACAAGUGACAGAGAUUGGUGAAGAAAGGCAGCUUGGAAUCUGUAUAAAUGAAAGAGGGAGAUAGGAUGGGUAAAAAUGAUUGACGGAAGAAUUUUGACCUACUGGGUUUGAGCGCGAAAGCUCACCAGUUGACGGGAUGCUUGGGGAUUUGCAACCGCCUCAUCGCUGCCCCCUACCGGCGCAUAUUCAAAACGUCUCUGCGAAAAGCUGUUAUUACCCUCGGAGCCAACAGGGGCUGCUCGUUUACCCACAGACAGUCGGAAAAAAUGGCCGCCGGAUCACAGAGAGCAGAAAGUACGUUCUCUUAAAGAAUUUCCAAGUUCUUCCCGCGGCCGUUCAGGAUGCUGCUUGCAGUUACCAACACUAUUCCCCUGCACUGAGCUGACCUGAGCUUCCCUGCCUACCUCCUGUCACGGAUGUCACCUUCUUUCACCCCUGUCCUGUCAAGGUUUUUGCUUUAGAAUGCUAUAGACCAAAGACGGGCUAAUCAACAGUCUUACACACAAAUCCUUUCGUUCUACUUGGCUACAAGCAGGGCUAAUCUUCCGAAGAGGAAUCCCACUACUGCCUCCUUAUAAGGGAAAAACUACUCUUAGAGGAACCCAGAACGCCCUGUGAUGACAGAGGUGAGGGGCCAGCGCGGCAGAAUGCACCACCCUGUCUCCUCGCUUGCUUCUCUCUCCGUCGGAUUGCCAAAAAGGGAAGGGCACCUAGACUCCGAAAAGUAACUGAAGCAAAGGGAGUUUAAAGAACGCGCCCAGCCGCCUGGGUCUUGAACCCAGUGUUAAUGAGAGCAAAAACCUCUGCAUCCUCCACUGAGCUGUC